UACGGGGGGGGCAAGCGUUGUUCGGAACUACUGGGCGUAAAGGGCUCGUAGGCGGCCAACUAAGUCAGACGUGAAAUCCCUCGGCUUAACCGGGGAACUGCGUCUGAUACUGGUUGGCUUGAGUGUGGGAGAGGGAUGCGGAAUUCCAGGUGUAGCGGUGAAAUGCGUAGAUAUUCGGAAGAACACCAGUGGCGAAGGCGGCUCACUGGACCGUUGUUGACGCUGAGGUGCGAAAGCGUGGGGAGCAAACAGG
rnacentral:rRNA from 1 species